rnacentral:tRNA from 1 species
CGCAGGGUGGAGCAGCUCGGUAGCUCGCUAGGCUCAUAACCAUAGGCAGGUUCAAAGCCUGUCCCCGCUACGA